rnacentral:rRNA from 1 species
CCUACGGGUGGCAGCAGUGAGGAAUAUUGGUCAAUGGGCGCGAGCCUGAACCAGCCAAGUAGCGUGAAGGAUGACGGCCCUACGGGUUGUAAACUUCUUUUAUAAAGGAAUAAAGUGAGGCACGUGUGCCUUUUUGUAUGUACUUUAUGAAUAAGGAUCGGCUAACUCCGUGCCAGCAGCCGCGGUAAUACGGAGGUGGCAAGCGUUGUCCGGAAUUACUGGGUGUAAAGGGAGCGCAGGCGGGAAGCCAAGUCAGCUGUGAAAACUACGGGCUUAACUUGUAGCCCGCCGUUGAAACUGGCAUUCUCGAGUUAAAGAGAGGUAUGCGGAAUUCGCAGUGUAGCGGUGAAAUGCAUAGAUAUUGGGCGGAACACCGGUGGCGAAGGCGGCAAACUGGG